UACGGGGGGGGCAAGCGUUGUUCGGAAUUACUGGGCGUAAAGGGCUCGUAGGCGGCCAACUAAGUCAGACGUGAAAUCCCCAGGCUUAACCUGGGAACUGCGUCUGAUACUGGAUGGCUUGAAUUCGGGAGAGGGAUGCAGAAUUCCAGGUGUAGCGGUGAAAUGCGUAGAGAUGUGGAGGAAUACCGAUGGCGAAGGCAGCCCCCUGGGCCAAUACUGACGCUCAUGCACGAAAGCGUGGGGAGCAAACGGG
rnacentral:rRNA from 1 species